rnacentral:lncRNA from 1 species
AUUGAUUUGCUCUGCUUGAGAGACAAAUCUCCUCAGUGACGUCGUCACCCCGAAUUUGUUGCCAGCAUGCCUGCAUUGAAAUGGAGUGACGUUACCAACGCUAGAAGCUCCAUCUAUGGAUCUAAGGUGUUGACUGACAGCUCGAGAAAACAUUAUUUUUAAAAAGGUAGUUCUCCUAAUUUAUACAUCUGCUAGCAAAAGUGCCAGCACAAUGUACAGAUAUAAUCUUAUGCUCAAUCUAAUGAGCAUAAUUUGUUUGGGGCAUGGCAGGUGCCCUUUAAAGGUGAGUAUCUUUUUUUUUUUUUUUUUUUACCUUGUUCAAUUUUAUAUUUUAUUUUUUUGUAUACUGUUUUACUGCAUUGUACAUGAAUACAUAAAAUAUUUUUGGGUUAUCUACUAAAGUGAGAAUUCCAAGUGAAUUCAAAGUAUGUUUCAAAUUUAAUAGGAUUAUUCACAAAAGGGAGAAUUUAAAGCUAAACUGGAAAUAUUACUUAAGUCAGCUGUGCUUCAAGUUCAGCUACUUUGGUCUAAAUUUGAAAAUCACUUUUAAUUCAAUUUUAAUUCUCACUUUAGUAAAUAUCCCUGUUUCUUUUGCAUAUUUUAUAUUGCAUUAUAUAUAUAUGUAUAACAAGAUAUGGUGUUACUUCCAGCUAAGUGUCCUUUGGAGAAAAUGUAUUUAAAGGGACACUAGUCCAGAAAACAGCUUUAGCUUAAUAAAGCAGCUUUGGUGUAUAAAUUAUGUCAUAGCAGUCUCACUGCUCAAUUCCCUGCCAUUUAGUAAUUAAAUCACUCGUUUGUUUCUGUUUAUGUAGCCCUAGUCACACCUCCCUGCAUGUGACUUACACAGCCUUUCUAAACACUUCCUGUAAAGGGUCAAAUUCUGUUUAAUUUACAAUGUCUUAUCUCAUGCUCUGUUGAUAGAUUGCUAGACCCUGCAGGAGCCUCCUGUAGCUAAUUAAAGUUCAAUAUACAGAGCAGGACAUAAAAGCAUUUAAAGUGGGGCGGAGCCUGACAGCCGAAACAAGCGGUCGCAAAACCUCGGAGCUCCCUGCUACAACCGGAGAAAUAUAGCCUAAACACAGCCUACUUUACCCCCCACUAACCACGACCACACAUAGGAACCCCUCAAGCACGAUGGGACGCAAAAAUAAAAAACAGAUGCCGGACAAAACAACCCCAGGACUAACAAUAGGGGAAAUGUGGCGGCAAACACGCGGCCCGAGUGAGGCCAAUAUGGCGGCGCUGCACGGAGGCUGCACGGACUUCUCGGACGACUGCUCAGAGGGGGCAGAGGAGGAGUACUACCGAGCCCCUGACCCAACACCAAGGACACAACCAGGCAAAGCAAGGACAGAUCCUGAUGCCGACCUGGUGACCACAGGGGUGCUGAAAACCCUACUAGCAGAUUUGCAGAAAAACAUCCUUGCGGAUGUCACAGCAUUAGGGUCAACGCUGCAGGGCCUCAUAGGCCGAAUGGCUGUGCUAGAGGACUCCUCUCAAGAAAGUCAGCGCACCAUAACCACAUUGCAGAGAGACGUGCAAGAACUGAGCCGCAAAAACACGAUACUUGAAAGACGCCUGGACGCCCAGGAGGACGCAAGAAGGAGACACAACAUAAAGGUCAGGGGGAUCCCGGAGGGGCUACCGGAGGUAGAACUGCCAUACACGAUCAGGCGCCUGCUAACCACUAUACUGCCCCCAGGUCAAACUAAACCCAUCACUCCCACAGAUCUAUUCCGGAUCCUGAAACCUGCCAGGGCCCCAGACGCGGCCACAAGGGACACUAUCCUUAUCUUCAAAAAUAGAGCAGACAAAGCAUCGCUCCUCACUGCCCUUCGGGGAAAAACUCCUGUGCAUUUUGAGAAUAUGAAGCUAACAUUCUAUAAUGACCUCUCGAACGGUACUUUGGCGUGGCGUAGAUCACUCAGACCCCUCACUGCCGCACUCCAGAGGCACAAAAUCUCCUACCGCUGGAGGUCAGCCCACACACUCCUUGUGCAACAGGGAGAAACAACUCACCAAAUCCACGGCCUACCGCGGGACUCUCUCUCCCAAGCAGAUCACCGAGCCCCCACCACCCCGGCUCACAGCUGGGACCCGGACAACUGCCCCCCUUUUGUACCGCGAAACAACACACCGGUCACAUACGCCUCGGUCACCACCUAGGAAGAGCUGUAGGGCCCACGCUCCAACCCUACCACCAAUUAAGGCAAUGAUUAUAAGGACGCCGGGACCACCCGCAGUAUCCUACACCUGCCCGACUAAACAGCCAAGAAUCUCAACAAACCCAGGAAUGGCUAACAUUGACCCCCCUCCCCAAAAACGACACACUGCAGUCUUACCCUCUUCCUGACCACCCGAGGCUCAAAGGGAUCCAACGCGGAUCAACAACCUUGACGACUACAUCACUCCAGGACAUACUCACCUGCCCUUGGCCUCUCGAGAGUACGGUACUUCUCCUGCAACUUACAAGAGACCCAUCCCAAGUGACAUUACCACUCGAUUCUUCACUUUGACUUGGUGACAUUACAGAACUCCCUGCCACCUCCGAACCAGAACAUUGGUUGACUCCACCAAAACUAAGGGCCUGCAGCCCACUUCUCGCGAGGGCUAACUCUAUUUAACGGCACCCCUCAACCCAGGCCGAUGCCACUGCCGGACAUCUCACCCACUCAGCUGCGGAAUGUACAAUGUUUCAUGUUUAAAGUUAUAAGUUAGACCACGAAGUGUACUGCAGUGCUAGGCAGUUUGUUACUCUACUCUCAACCAAAACUAGGGUUAGUGGAGCUAAUGUCAUGUCAGGCCUAAGCCUAAUCGCAUAAAACUUAGCAAAACUUUACUAACUGAGUGUGCCCUCAGAUACCUACACCAGCAUAGCCUAUGCAUAAUAACAGGGUACCCUAUGAGACAGUAAUGACUAAGCUUAAUAUCUUUGGUUGCUAAUAUUGUGGUCUUGAUCAAAUAAGCAGCUUUCUAGGUCCAGGCUCAUAACCCAAUGGUUUAAUGAUCUCAACGCAUACAAACACAAAAUGCUUAGCCCAGCUCUAUGCCAAACUGGCGAGCCGAUUAAGCUCCACGGUAUAUCACACCAGUGCGCAAGCAGUAUCGCACCUAACAGUUUAACUACUAUUAGCGACCUAUAUACACUCCCAGUGGCUGAUCGCUGCUAUAAUUCCCAUUUUGCUUAUUCUCUUAUUUUUAUGCAGACACAGGAUUUAAGUCAAUAUGCCUAACUAUGUAAUCUUACCAACCUGUGCUACUACUGUAAUCACCACCUUAGACAUGCACCCAUGCAUCUCCUAUGGGAGUACCAUGUAGAAUGAUAUCCACACCUUACGUUUAACCAGUUUUUAUAUUACCAGCUGUAGGCACCUAUUACUGCCCAUUUCAGGUGGUCUAUGCGCAUAUACUAAGAAUAGGUCGCCAGGAAAUAGGACAUAAUAAAGGGAUAUCCAAUGUAAUCACAAAUUCUAUUCUAUUUUAUUUUAUUUUAUUCUACUUUAGGCACCAACUUAUGCCAUGCUAUACGUUCUCUGUUAUUCAGUUCAUGUACUCUUCGAAUAUAUAUAAAUAUUGUGCCAUAAUCUUAAAAAUGUGCAGAUUCCACUAACUGCUUUUGAAUGUUACCAUUGUUUUUAGACAGGGUACCUUUAGGCUCAGAGUGAAUAGAAACAGGACUACACAAUGAAGGCUAACUCUAGCAAUGUUAACUGCUGUAUGUUGUGUCUAAGCUUAAAUACACACAGUUUAACUUUUUAAUGUAGUUGUACACCAAGUUACUGCUAACUGCAACCGUGCUUAUUCAAUAUGACUACGAAUUUAACCUGAACCCACUCUCUAAGAACUUGACUACUCCAAUCUCUAGUACCACUGUAUGUUUACUGUCUCAAGCUCGAAACCCCAUCGGGACCCACCGCAACAGUCAUACAAAGCUAGCCUGUAUAUAGCAUGUUUAAAAUCUUUAAAGUGUUCCCAGUCUGUUAUUUUUCUCAUUACAAAAAAUGUGCUGUUUAUUUCUGCCAUGACAAUGUAAGCCAUUGAACUGCCUGUAAUCGCUGUUGUGGCGCUACAGAUACCUCUGUUAUGUAAUCAAAUGCACAAGAAAAAUAAAGAAUUAAAAAAAAAAAAAAAACAUACCUCCACAUGUGGUGGGAAUGCCCCAGCGUGAUCCCGUUUUGGGCAGCAGUACACAACCUGGAUGCAACAGGUGUUCUCUAGGGCGCCCGUGUUGGAACCAUGGGUCUAUCUCCUAAACAGGUCGGUGGAGGGAUGGACGCGAAAGGAACAGAAGCUGCUCCAUAAGAUUACGCUAGCCGCACGACAAGCAAUAGCCUUUAAAUGCUUAGAGCAGGAUCUACCACAAAUAACGAGUGUGAUAGGUAGGAUAAAAGACAUCCAGUUGAUGGAUGACCUUAUGGCCAGGGUCAGGGGCACCACCAAGACCUUCCAAAGGGUAUGGGAGCCAUGGGUCGAAUCCCCGUGGGGCGACUGAGGGGGGAGUAGGGCAGCCUUGGCAGAACAGACUGAGGUGGAUGUGGCGGCCUGGGAGGGGCGCCCUGAGGGACACACAGGCGAUUCCCACUCGGGGUGUGUGCUGCGCUCUCUGCCCCCCCUAUCCCCCUGCUCAGGCCCUGGACCGCCUAAGGAUACUUUUUUCUCUACUUUUCUUUCUUUCUUCUUCUCCACUCUUUUAACCCUUUUCUAUGGAGCACGUAUAGGAGAGAGUGCCGGUAAGCACGCAGCACCUACAUUAGAUCUAGGCAGGCCAGGGGAGUGCAGCGGGGUAUGGUUGGAUCAAGAAGUAGCGAGGGGCGACGGGCUAGGGAUACAACAACACGACAGAUAUGCACUCAGGGGCGUGACACCACACUUGCGGUGCGAAAAUACGCAACAGUGGCACACACAAUAGAGUAUGUAAGGAAAUCAUGCUUCUGUAAUGUAAAAAAUUUUGACGGACGGUGAAAUCUGGCCGCAGAGAACUUAACCGCAUACACAAAGUCUCAGGGUUAGAAUGGGCUUUUAAUAUAAUGAUGCAUAUGGACUUCUGCGAAAGCCGAAAUGUGAAUCUUAUGCCACUGUUCCUGUCAUGCACAAAUAAAGAAUUAUAAAAAAAAAAAAAAGCAUGUAAAGUAAGUUACAUCUGAUUGAAAAUUAAACCAUUUAUGCAGGCUACGUCAGUCACAGCCAGAGGAGGUGUGGCUAGAGCUGCAUAAACAGAAAUAAAAGUGAUUUAACUACUAAAUGGCAGAUAAUUGAGCAGUGAGACUGCAGGGGCAUGAUCUAUACACCAAAACGGCUUCAUUAAGCUAAAGUUGUUUUUGUCACUAUAGUGUCCCUUUAACCCCUUAAGGACACAUGACAUGUGUGACAUGUCAUGAUUCCCUUUUAUUCCAGAAGUUUGGUCCUUAAGGGGUUAAAGGAACUUGCCAAAAUUCCCCUGUCCUACAAGAAUACUUAAAUAGGAGAUUAGUGGAGAGAAAGGUUAGAGUGUUAAAGGCACGGUGAACUUCAAAUGAAGGUACUGCUGGUUUUUGUCCUUGGUGGUAACAUUUAAGAAAUCAAUUGAAAACAUUUCGGUAUACAUAGAUACUGUCUCCAUAGCAGCAAGCAACACAGAGAGGCUGCUCCCAAACACAACCAAUUGAAGACUAAAAAUAAUUGAUGUGCUGCAAGAAAAUAUGUACUUGUAUACAUCCUUAAACGACUUUGCACAUUAGAGGAACCCUGAAGCCGAGCCAGUGAUUUGCUUGUGUCUCCCUACGCCUGGUAACACACAGCUAAAGGAAAUCUGACAGCUGAAAUAUGUCCCAUGUCCCAUGGAAGCAUUUCUCACUAUUCACAUCCAUAGAUGUGAAAAGUCUUCAUAUUUUAUUAAUGCCUUGCCCGCACAGGAAAAUUUCUUUUCUUACACAUUUAUAUUUUUGACACAAGAUUUAGCAAAUUACAUCAUAAUCAAGUUUAUAUAAGUUCAUAUAAGGCAAAGCCAGGACAAAAAGUGCAAAUGAAGAGGAAAACUAGAAGCUUUGUUACAUUUCUGUUCUUUUCUGUGUGCUUUAUGUUUGCUGACUGCCAAAGACAAAGAACAGAGCUUAUAACAAUGACAGACAGUGACCUAACAUGGAGGCGCCAUUUACAGGAUUGCAAGUUUUACAUUUCUACAUUUUAUUUUAUUUUUUACACCUUACAGUUACAUUUUUGUUCAAAUUUAGGAUUAAGUAAACAUAACAGUAAAAGUCCUGGCGAUUGUCAUUUCCCCCUGAAAAAAAAUAGCGGAACUGGAAACAUUCUUACUUUUUUCCAGAUCUGCAUUUUCAACCUUAAAUUAACUAAUUUUUCACAAUUCCUGAGAUAUUAAAAAAAAAUAAAAAAAACAACCAAAGGUCAAAGUUAGAUUGUAUGUAUUAUUGCCAACACAUUUGUGCAAUAUUUAAUGGUUCAUGUUUGAAAUAGUGUAAUGUUUAAACUUAUUAUUUUAUAAGGUGUGAAUUUAAGAUUUUAAAAUGUGCUUUUGUAGCACAAAACACAAUUUUAAUUUUAGUAUUAUUAUUAUUAUUUUAUAAUGGAAAGUAUGCCAUUUACUUCAUUAAAGUUUUCUAAGCGUGAAAAUGUCACUAACUGCAUCUAGAAGAUAGAGUAGGAAAAGGAAUGAUAAAAAACAAUAAUUCUAUUGUGCCUUUUCAUAUAUAUAUAUGUUUUAAUAUUACAACUGUUGACAAAAGGAACAUUUGGAGACCCAUUUCAGAAUUUCUAACAAAAUAUAUAAAUAAAUAAAACUUUUAAGCAAACAAACAAAUAUAUAUAUAUAAAUUCUCUCUCUCUCUCUCUCUAUAUAUAUAUGUAUAUAUAUAAUUUAUAUAUAUAAUGCAUAUGAUUUUAAAAUAAUAAAUAUUUGUAUAAUAACAUUUUAUAUUAAAUUAAUAAAUAUAUAUAAUGUAUGAUUUUAAAAUAAUAAAUAUAUUUAUAGAUAUAUAUAAUUACUAUACUAUUUAUAUAUUUAUUAUUUUAAAAUCAUAUAUAUACAUAAUGCAUAAAAUUUUAAAAUAAUAAAUAUAUCAAUAGUAAAUAUAUCUAUAUUUAUACAUGUUCAUAUUUGAAGAAUAAUUAAUAUAUGAUGUAUAAAUCCAGAUCCCUUUGAUAAAUUCACUACCUUUACCCCUGCAUUACAAUAUUAUGUCCAGAACGCUUCCUGCUAUUGAUUUUGGUCACACGAUCUAUAUUUAGUUAACAGUUGAAGAAAGACGGGUCGAGCACUCCAAUGCUUAAAGGCAGAUUUAUUGGAACCAGAGGAAUACUGCAAUGUUUCAACCCAAAUUUGUGUCUUUGUUAAGGACUCACUUGAGAAAGACCAAAUUUUAGAUCAAAACAUUGUGUUGUUCCUCUGGUUCCAAACAAUGUGCCUUUACGCAUUUGAUGCCUGGACCUUCUUUCAAGUGGUAUUUAUAUUCUGAUGGGCUAGUGCUGGCCCAUGGUCUAAUCAAGCACUGAAUUGGCAUGUGGAUUGAGUGCAGUUUCUGUUACCUGUUUAUGAUCUACAUCUAGCACAAAAAUAUCUAUGUGGCAGAUAUAAUCAUAAUUUUCUCCAAUGAAAACCAAUUACCUUUGUUACCUAAGGUGGUGGAUUUUGGUGAGCUGUAAACAAAGUUCUGUGCAGAUUUCAGACUGUCAGAUACCUUUCCCACCUGCAGCAAUGUUAUUCUCCGCACAUCACUCCCUAUAAAAGCAUGUAAAAACUACGUAGAUUGGAGAUUAGGUAAUAUAGCAAAAACAAUGGCACCCUUGAUGCGGUGCAGGGAGAAUCCUUCAUCACUUUUGCGAUGGGUGAAGAUAGUAAAGGAAAUUAAAAAAUUAAUAAACCCAGCCUCCUCAUGCUCAUUGGCUGAAAAUUGUGUCCUCUACUGAGGCCCAGUAGUUUGCAGACUAGAAAGAUUUAUCAUUACUGGUGACAUAUCAAUACUGGAGUUAUAUGAGUGUCUGUCAAUGUAGCCUUUGCGGCCCAUUAUGGCGACGCUUCCCUCUACUCAGCACGGAACCCAUAUUGGGUUGGUCGCUUGCUGGCCUAGAUAUUGUACCCACCAUCAUAUCCUUAUAUCCCCCUUGCUCAUACCUUUCUAACCUGGGUUUUCCAUCCAUAUUUAUUCUCCUACCUUUUCUAUUGCACCCCACUUUACUUCCUGUUCUUUUAUUCCCCCAACCCUCUGUUUUUAGCCUCCCCUUUCUCUUAGUUUUUUUCCCCAAAUUCCAAAUGUACAGAGCCGGUUGGCUGUGCAAGCAGAGCAAACCAAGAAUUCAUAGAUUGUGUUAGAUAUACAUCUCCUCCAUUGAGCCCUAUCUUAUAGAACACUUGGUAGACAUACAAUAUGACCGAUUUCUGUUCACACUAUACAUGUUGCUUCUUUUCAGUAAUCCAGUUGCUCCUAUGUCACUGUUAUCAUCCUUGAUAUCUCUGUAUAGCUGUCUAUAGCACUCACGCUCUGUAUUAAUUAUGUCGCUGUCUUGCUUUGAAUUACUUAAUUUUUUUCUCAAUAAAAUCCAAUUUACAAGUACGGUCCACGGGAAGAAUCGCUGACCUGCAGGAGAAACGUACUUUACCAAAAACACACAAAAACAAUUUGCUGGUAGACGACCAAAUUCCCGUUUCCGUAAUAUAACUCGUCUUCAGAAUAAUCCUGAAAUAACUGCGCAAAAACAAACACUACGUACAGUUAAUACAGCUUUGAUUUAUUUUAAGAAAAGAAACCCUUACCCAGUGCAUUUUAAUAAAUAGCUUCUUUUUUUUUCGCCGCUGAAAUAAAUAAUUGUUUAAUGAAAACUGAUGCGAUUAGCACUUUCUCUACACUUGGCACAGAGAAUGAUUUCCCGUCCACUGUUUCAAAUGUUUCAGUGUAAAUGUAUUUGCAUAACUGAGUAGUUUCUCUUCAAGCUAAGGAGCGGCUAAUAAUAGUCCUCUGUGUCAGUGACAGAGUGUGCAGGACUAUGAUCUACAGUAGGAGGACGUGUCUGCCACGCUCAAAGGCAGCACUAGGUGUCUGGCUAAUGAGCAGUGAUUAAGGACAAUUCGGCCUCAGAUAACCAGUAAUGAAAGUCAUUUCACCACUCAAAGGGUCUAGUGUGUUUCUCUGGCUUACAGUGAACACAGAGGGAAAAAGAACGUUUGUUGGCAAAGUGCAAGGACUGGCAUGAGAUCAGCCAGGGUUUAACCCACGCCAUUCUGAUCAAAAUGCUCUCAGCAUUAAAGGAGUUUAAUUAAUUUACUUCCAGUAUUGACUUCCUUUGUAAAUUUCAUUACCGGAGAAAAGAGUUAAAAAUUUAUGUUAUUCCAGAAGAGGAAGAACUGACCCUUCAAAAAGAUGAAAAUUUAAUCAUCUUUACAGUUUACCUAUAUGAAUGUAUAUACUCACGUAUUAUGCCAGUAAGAAGACCAGCGGUUAGUGCCCCAGCUGCUAAAUUUCUUGUUUUUUGGUUUUUUUUCAGACUUCAGUAACGCAGGUCUUAUCCCCAGAAGAACCAACACUGUAGUCAUCUUUCCAAAGUUAAUAUCAUAAAAAAAUAAGUUUGUUAAUGAAAAACUUCUAUACCCAAGGAAAUACUUGAAAAUAAGGAAAGUACAAGAAGUAGAUUAUCUGGUGAACCAAUCUGAUCAUUUUAUUUUAUUGGUUCUUUAACUCUAACUUUGUCGUUUGUAAAGUUACUGCUCUCUGUUUUAAUGUUAUCUGUAUUUAAAGCAGGGCUAGGUCACCAUGGCUACUAGGAAUUUUGUCCUGGCACCUGGGAUUUGUUGGUCCAUUUAGCCCCGAGGUGGUCGGCUGCCUAUGAGUGCAGGCGGCCGUCCGGCUCAUAAAGAGCAUGGGCUUACGUGUGGUCGGCCGGUCAGCACAGAAAGAGCAUGGGCAUGCAGUCUGCUGGCCUGCUGAGGGAGAGCAUUGUCGCGCCUGCGGGUGGUCGGCCAGCCAGCUGAGGGAGAGGGUGGGCGGGCGUGCACACAGGCGAAAGGCUCCUGGAAGACUGAGCCAAACUUGCUGCUAUAAUGCCUCUACCCAAGUAGACCCCCUCUUACUGUCUGUGCACUUCACAGGCACCGGAAUCAGCUGAAAGCUGCCUAGCUACCUUCCGCUGCUCCACAAUUACUAUUGGGAGUCACCCUACUAGUUGAAGACGCUUUAUCCCUCAUGCCGAGUUUAUUUGGCCUUUUUAUGUCACCCACAUCUGUGUUUGUGUUUAUAACAUUAUUUCCUUGCAUUCUUUUCUCACUCUUCUAUAAAUGACCUAAAUGGGUCUACUUGUGUGUGUUUUCUUGUGUGGCACUUCUAAGCAAGCCUUAUGGCUGUAUUUUACCUACUAGUCUAGAUAGCCUUAGCUAAUAAUGCACAUUUGAUUUUACAUGAGUCUAGACUAGUGCCUAGCCUGAUUAUUAUACUUUAUCUAUGUUUUUAGCAUAUACCACCCUUGUUUCCCUCCCCCCAAAAAAGUGUUAUAACUUGCCUUGCCUUUGUCGUUGGGGCAAUGCGAGACUGCCUGCUACAUUCAUGCACAUCAAAAAUAAAGAAUACCCCCCACCACCCGACCUCACAAAAAGAAAACUUAUAUCAUAAAUUAAUUAAAAGGUUCAUCAGCUGAUGUCUGAUGGCCAGCACUACCUAUAUAUUGGUAGAAUGUUGUGAAUUUCCCACCAGGAAUAUCAUUAUAUAGAUAUAGUAAAUCAGUUUUUGUUCACACUGCACAGUUAACGUAAACUCUGAGCUCACAUUUCUUCUUGCGUUCUUAUUUUAGCAAGCAUAUAGAGUAAUUAAAUGACUCAGGAUUCGUCAUAAAGGGUGUUGUUUGUAAUCGUGUAUUAUGUUCUCCUCCCACACUUUUAUAGGAUUUAAAGUUUACAUGCAUUGUAUUGUCUGAUGCCUGAAUGGACCUCACCAACAUUUUCUAUAAUCAAGCUAAUCAUGUUUAUGUCUAGACACAGCAUAACAGCAUAAUUUAAUUUCAUCCCACAUUGUAUGAAAUAAACAUACAACGCAUCAUUAUAGCUUAGAUCAAGUGGGGCAGCAUUCUUUAGAAAGAUUUUUUUUUUUUGAUUAAUUCAUUGUCUGUCCAAUACAUAUAUAUAUAUAUAUAUAUAUAUAGUAUUAGUAGGCUUCUUUAAAGCAGAAAGCAGAUAAAAAACAAAGAGGAAGAGGGCUGAGCUUGCUAACGGGAGAAGAUGGACGACUGUCCCCCAACUGUUUCACCUCCGCCUAUAGUACAUAACUAUCUCCCUAUCUCCUCCUCUGCAUUUUGAUGGUAGUAUUCAAGAAUGCCGGGGAUUCAUUAAUCAGAUUGAGUAUCAUUUUGAGGCCUCACCAGGAUCUUUUCCCACUGACAGAGCUAAAAUUGGUUACCUGAUGAACCAACUUAAAGUAAAGCUUUAGCCUGGGCCAAUCCGUUAUGGGAGAGUAAUAGGAGCAUUGCACACAAUUACCAGGAAUUCCUUGCCGAAUUUAAAUUAACAUUUGAACCAUUGGGCAGGGAGGAUGACGCCUCCACUGCCCUAAUGCAUAUCAAACAAGUGAACCAGUCUAUCUCGGAAUAUGCCAUAGAAUUUCGCACCUUGGCUUCCGAGGUAGACUGGACUAACAGCGGAUUAAUCUCAACAUUUAAGAAAGGAUUAUCUGAGACUAUUUUGGAUGAGAUAGCCGCCAAAGAUCUACCCAAGAAACUUGAGUUUAUCACAUUUGUCAUGCAAAUUGAUAAUAGAUUUAGAUCCAGAAACAAGACCAGACGUAUGACUGUCAUUGGCACCUCGUUUCUCCAGACCUGUUGUUCCUGAUCUCCCUACACAGUCCGAACCCGAACACAUGCAGUUGGGGGUCACUAGACUGUCGGAAGCAGAAAAACAAUAUAGGAAAAAAGAGGGCCUAUGCAUAUACUGCGGUAGGAGAGGAUAUAUGAGGAAUACUUGACGUCUGGAAAACUUCCGCACCUAAGAACCUUAAGGGGGCAAGUCUUAGGUGUAAUGGAUACGUCCUCUGGAAAUAACAAAAAUAGGUUCCUCCUUGAUAUUACUAUCAAAUGUAACAAGAAGGACUUUUCAUGCAAGGCCUUGAUGGGCUCAGGUGCGGCAGGAAACUUCAUUAAAGUACAUUUUGUAAAAAAAAAAUGCUAUACCUAUCAAGGAGAGAUUAUCACCUCUGGCCGUUGAGGCUAUUGAUGGGAGAUCACUCUCUCAACCCUUAAUUACUCACGAAACCUUGCCCAUUAACAUUUCCAUUGGUGCCUUACAUAUGGAAGAUAUAACAUUUCAAGUUAUUGCAUCUCCUUAUUGCCCUAUCAUAUUAGGCUUAUUAAAUACAAUCCUUAUAUUGACUGGGCUAAUGGGGAAAUAUUGGAAUGGGAUUGUACUGAGAGGUGUAUGUUACACAUUACCAAAAGAGUGAACACCAUUACAUUACCCACUACUACGCCUCAAACUCCCAAAGUUCCCAUACAAUACUGGGAGGUUAAGGAGGUAUUCAGCAAAAAUCAGACCAAUAUUUUACCUCCUCACAGGUAAACCUACUACUUGGCACUAUGCCACCUAAGGGAGCAGUAUAUGCUUUAUCGCCACAGGAGAGGAGAAUGGAGGAGCAUAUCAAAGACUCCCGAAGUAAGGGCCAUAUACGUAAAUCAUCCUCGUCUGCUGGUGCAGGAUUCUUUUUUGUGUGGCAUAAAAAAGAUGGUUAGUUACGCCCGUGCAUUGACUACAGGGCAUUGAUCAAAAUCACCAUUAAAAAUGCCUACCACAUUCCCCUCAUUUCAGAAUUGUUUGACAGACUCCAGGGUGCUAAAGUCUUCACUAAACUGGGCUAAUGGGGAGUGCGUACAAUUUAGUGAGGAUUAAGGAAAACCAUGAGUGGAAAACGGCACGCGACGGAUUUACACCACAGGUGGAUUUCAUUUGGAUAUUCUGGCGGCAUAUUUAAACGAAGACUUCUGGAAGAGUGAGAUCACAAUCUCUGAGGUAAUCCAGUGGACGAAACGCAUUGGAUUCUAACAUUGGGGACUUGCCGUGCUGUACUCUUAUCUCCACCUUGAAGUAGAUUAUAUGCUGUUUUUACCUGGACCUUUUGUAAGUGCAUCUUGUAAUAAAUCUUUGAAGUUUUAAUUUCAUCUGCACUAUUAUUUGGUUUCUUUAUUUUACAAGUGCUAAAGAAGACUUUUUCCUUAUUACUCUGAAGACCACUUCUGAUUAAAGGACCACUAUAGUGCCAGGAAAACAUACUCGUUUUCCUGGCACUAUAGUGCCCUGAGGGUGCCCCUACCCUCAGGGACCCCCUCCCGCCCGGCUCUGGAAGGGGGAAAGGGGUAAAAAUGUACCUUUUUCCAGCGCUUGGCGGGGAGCUCUCCUCCUCCGAUCCUCUUCCGUUCCUCCCAUUCGGCUGAAUGCGCACGCGCGGCAAGAGCUGCGCGCGCAUUCAGCCGGUCGCAUAGGAAAGCAUUAUCAAUGCUUUCCUAUGGACGCUGGCGUGCUCUCACUGUGAAAAACACAGUGAGAAGCACGCAAGCGCCUCUAGCGGCUGUCAAUGAGACAGCCGCUAGAGGCUUUGGGGGAAGGCUUAACCCAUUGAUAAACUGCUAUGUUUAUAAAACAAUGGGUUAACCCGAGCUGGACCUGGCACCCGCUUAAUGAAGUGGUCUGGGUGCCUAGAGUGGUCCUUUAAGGAUGAUUGGCCUGAUAUUCACUUAUAUUUUGUGAGUUCAACAUAUACAUCCUGCGUGUCUUUAUAUUCAUACUCUUGUCACACCCGAAGUAGGGGUCCUCAUAGACUGGUCCUGUGAGGAACCACAACAGGCAGGUGGAGAUGGGACAGAGUUCUCUCCACCGGGCCCACCAGGAUGCUGGGCAGACGGCCCAGAUCCCCAGCAGCAGCAGGAGUUGCGAGGUGCGGAAGCAGGUGGUCCUUACUCGCAAAUGUUGAGAGACCUCACAGACUGGUCCUGGGAAGACCCACAGAUGGCAGGUGGAGAUGGGACAGCGGUCUCUCUACCGGUCCUACAGGGAUGCUGGGCAGUCAGCCCAGACCCCCAGCGGCAGUGUGAAGUGCAGGGAGUGGAGAGCAUCGUCUCCCCUCCCCAGCGGCAGUGUACCUUGCAGGGAGAGGAGAGUAGCGUCCUUCCUCCCCAGUGGCAGGGUGAGCUACAGGGAUGCUGGGCGGUCAGCCCAGAUCCCCAGCAGCAGAUUGAUUUGCAGGAAAUAGAGAGCCGUGUCUCCUUUCCCCAGUGGCAGUGUGAAGUGCAGGGAGUGGAGAGCAUCGUCUCCCCUCCCCAGCGGCAGUGUACCUUGCAGGGAGAGGAGAGCAGCGUCCUCCCUCCCCAGUGGCAGGGUGAGCUACAGGGAUGCCGGGCGGUCGGCUCAGAUACCCAGCGACAGUGUGAUUUGCAGGGAAUAGAGAGCAGUGUCUCCUUUCUCCAGCGGCAGUGUGAAAUGCAGGGAGUGGAGAGCAGUGUCUCCCCUCCCCAGCGGCUGAAAGUGUGUAAGGGAGAGAAGCUUGUUACCCCCUCUCCCCAGCGGCAGCUUAGCCCACCAAGGGGAUACACUAAGUUCCCAACCAGCGCAGAUGGUACCAUGGUCUCUGCGCCCAAACUACAGGGAGUACGGACAGUCGGUCCUGCUCCCCAGUGGCAGAGUCGUCUACUGGGAGGGAGAACCUUGUCCCCCCUCCCCAACGGCAGCCUAGCCCACCAAGGGGAGAUGAUGAGCCCCACACCGGUGCAGAUGGGACCGUGGUCUCUGUGCCCAAACCACAGGGGGUAGGGACGGUCGGUCCUGUCCCUCUGCAGCAGGGCUGUUUAUCCAAAGGGGAGACAGCCUUUCUUCCCCUCCAGCAGCAACACCAGGUCCAGAGGGAGGAGCCUACUAACCCUUCUCCUCAGCUGAGCCCCAACCAGGCUACUCCUGUGGUAGCGCUGGCACCAGGGCAGAGUACUGCUGGUCUCUGCCCACGCAGCAACCCACGAAUCCGGAGGGCUAGUACUCCCCAGACCCGUGGUGGAGCCCCUGGACAUGGACAAGCUACCCACUACCCCAGGUACAGUAACUUUUCAUUGUGGGUGGGCUGCACUACUGACUAUGUUUUGUGGGUGGGUUGCUGGACUAACCAAGGCACUGACCGACAGGAGGUCAGAUACCUUGUUAGUCUUUUUGGGAAAGGGGAGAAAUGUGGCGAAACCGACCUCGCCACUGGGCAUUGGAGAAGACUGAUUGCCAGCCUCCUGCCAUGUGACUAUGGCCCCUGGGAUGUAUUGCCCUUUAAAGACAUGAUUUGGGCAUAAGGGAUUUGUGUUGUGCUGCUGCUGGCCCUUUAAGAACCAUCUGGGGACAUACUGUGGAGUUACUGGGUGGCCACCAUUUCCUGUAUCAGAGGCACAUGGUGAGAACAAUGGAUGAAGCACAUGGUGAGAACAAUGGAUGGCGGCCAUUUUAACUCACAGACACUGUUUGGACUUUUCAACACGGUGCCAUCUCGCCGGUAUUUGGUGCACAGAGACAUCGUGCAGUGGUUUUGGACUAUACAACAGGGGACACAUUAUACAGUAAUUGUUUUUCAUUUAGCCUGUAUAUGUUCUGCAGAAUCUGCAUUAAACUGUAUCUUCCAAAGUACUGAACGGAUCUGGGUGAAUUUUGGAUAUGUGGUUCACCCAGAUCCCCCGGUUUUUAUGGGGUUAUUGCAUGUUCUGGGGUCCCUGUGAUGUGUUUUAUGAAACUGUAUUUCUCUGUCUGUGAUAAUUAGAUUACCCAUUCUGUAAGGUAAUUGUAUCACAGGCAGAGGGGAGGAUUUUGUGUGGGAGUGUCUGAGGGUAUUGUAUGUGUUAUUGGUUGUUCUGUAAAACCCUGUGGGCAGUACUAAGUUUGUGGAUUGGGAAUAAAAGAGGCUGUAUGUGCCAGUCCAGUCAGUUCCUGCUUAACCCUCAAAGUGAAGUGUCGUCUCAUUAUUGGGGGAGGAUUUAUUGUAUGCUGUUCCAGUUUGACUGCUAGGAGUGUAAACCUAUUCACAUGGUUUUUCCUAUUCGGCUGUAUACAACAUUCAUAUGCUUGAGAGCAUUCAUAUGCUUCUCCGAUUCGGUGGUUGUGGUGUCUGCUGCAGUGCUUGGAGUCCUCAGGAAGCGCUAGGAGCAUCCUUCAACGGAGGUACCCAGUCGGGGUGCCAGGUGAUCCUACUCCAUCCCUAUGCCUCCUUGAUAGCAACUCCGGCCCAGUGGCGGAUCCAGGGGGGGGGCAACGGGGCAAUUGCCCCCCCCCGAGAUCCAAUGCUCUCUCCUGCAGGGCCGGUGCUAUCCAAGCGCCGGCCCUGCUAAGUGCCUUCACGGAGAUCAGAGAUCUCCCUCACCGGUCCGCAGGCACAUUACUGGGCAGGAGACCCGGGAGGAGCUCUAGCCUGCAGCUCCGCCGGGUCUCCUCUCGCGAGAACGGAGCGUUGCCGCGAUUACCACGGCAACGCUCUGUUCUCGCGAGAGUGAACUCUAAUAUUAAUAUUUUAUUAAUUAAAAAAAACAUUUGUUUUACACUGCCCCACCAAACUGCCCCCAUAGCCCCCCAUACACACUGCCCCCAUAGCCCCCCAUACACACUGCACCCAUAGCCCCCCAUACACACUGCCUCCAUAGCCCCACCAAACAAACUGCUCCCACAGCCCCCCAUACACACUGCCCCUCAUAGCCCCCCAUACACACUGCCCCCAUAGCCCCCCAUACACACUGCCCCAUAGUCCCCCAUACACACUGCCCCCACUGCCCCACCAAACAAACUGCUCCCACAUGCCCCCAUACAUACUGCCUCCAUAGCCCCCUACACACUGCCCCCACAGCCCCCCAUACACACUGCCCCAACACACACACACACUUCUUCACAUACACACAGUGCUCCCCAUACAAACACUGCACCCCACAUACACACAGUGCUCCCCAUACAAACACUGCACCCCCCACACACACACACACCUCCACAUAGACACAGUGCUCAUCAUACAAACAAUGCACCCCACAUACAUACAGUGCUCCCCAUACAAACACUGCAUCCCACAUACACACAGUGCUCCCCAUACAAACACUGCACCCCCCUCCACACACACACACCUCCACAUAGACACAGUGCUCCCCAUACAAACACUGCACCCCACAUUCACACAGUGCUCCCCAUACAAACACUGCACCCCACAUACAGUGCUCCCCAUACAAACACUGCACCCCCCACACACACACACACUCCACAUAGACACAGUGCUCCCCAUACAAACAAUGCACCCCACAUACACACAGUACUCCCCAUACAAACACUGCACCCCACAUACAGUGCUCCCCAUACAAACACUGCACCACCCCCCCCACACACACACACACACACCUCCACAUAAACACAGUGCUCCCCAUACACACACACCUCCACAUAGACACAGUGCUCCCCAUACAAACAAUGCACCCCACACACACACUUCUCCACAUACACACAGUGCUCCCCAUACAAACACUGCAUCCCACAUACACACAGUGCUCACCAUACAAACACUGCACCCCACAUACACACUGCACACACUGCACCCUCACACACAUUACACCCUCACACACUUCUCCCCCAACACACACUACACCCCCAUACAAGCACUGCACCCACAUACACACACUGCCAACUGGACUCCCAUACACACACUGCCCCCACUACACCUUCAUACACACACUGGCCCCAUACACACAGUGCUUCUACUGCACCCCACAUAUACACACUGCACUCCCAUGCACACACUACACCCCUCACACAAACACACACUGCCCCUCCUACACACAGUGCUCCCACUGCACCCCUAUACACAUACUGGCCCACAUGCACAGCCUCCCAUACACACACACACACACACUGCACCCCUCACACACUGUCUCCCAUACCCACCCUGCAUCCUUCACACACUCAGUGCCUCCCAUACACACACACACAAACACACACUGCCUACUCUCACACACACACACACACACACUACUAGAGGCUCUAUCCCCUGUUUUUAAACCGUUUGACUAUUUACUCUGGGAGGGCACCACGGCACUCCUGGCACCAUAACCACUACAGAGAGCUGUAGUGGUUACUGUGCCUGGAUUGUUUCUUUAAAUAAUCUAUGAGUGCCCCUCCCGAGAUAAGACUCUGGAUCCGCCAGUGCUCCGGCCCCCCAGUUUCAAGACCUCAUAUUGGAUUGAGUCAAUUCCUAGAGCAUGGCAGAUUACUAUUACAGAGAGCUCUGUCCGAAAACACCAGGCGUACAUACAAAAGAGCACUUAAUGUUUUUGUAAAAUUCACAAGAGACUUCCAGGUGGCAGACGUAUUCGCUAUGGAAACUUUGGUAGCGUUUGCCUCUUUUUGCCACUUGAAUUUACAUCUGUCUUACAGUACAAUAAAACUCUACCUCAAGGGCCUACAACACCACAUGUUAACCUUAUUUCCAAACAAACAGACCUUCCUCUCCUCCUACCAAAUUAAGACAUUAUUAAAAGGAAUUCAGAGGAGCAGUACUACACCGGCACAACAAAGACUGCCUAUUACAGGGAAUGUGUUUAGAUCACUAUCAGACCUAUUGGAUAACUCUCCUUUCGAACCCAAAACAAAUUAGACUUUAAAAGUAGCUAUAUAUUUAGCUUUUUACUGGUUCCUUAGGCCCAGAGAGUUUACCAAAAUCCUUACUACUGACACUAGAUCCUGUCUUUACGUUGGGCAGCUAAUUAAACAGGGAGAUAAUUUCCUCCUCUCACUGUUACAUACAAAAACUAUGCAACCAGGGCAAACCGUCACAAUACCCUAUUAUCCAACCUUUAAUAAAUGGUGUCCCGUUAAGACUUUCGAUACCUAUCUGUCUACUUUACAAGCACCUACAAAUCUCCCGUUACUCACCUUACAAGGCACCAUCCUCACGACUAGCAAAUUCAUGCUAUAUAUUAGAAUCUUGUUGAUGAGGCUAGGCCUUAACCCCUCACACUACUCAGGGCAUUCUUUCCGUAUUGGAGCAGCUUCAGCAGCAUCACACCGGAACAUACCCGUUCAUAUUAUCAAGUCUCUGGGGCGCUGGAAGUCUACAGCCCUACUGUAGAUACAUACCACAACCAGAGAGAAAAAUCAGACAAAUUUUCAGACAUUUGACAUUAUAAUGUUAUGUUGUAUUAAGUUAUUGUUGAUGGAAUAAAUCUUUUUGGCAUACAUCUUUUGCCCACUUUAUUUACAGGUCUACCAAUACGUUGGUUUCGGCACACCUCAACCUAAUUAGUCAUACUCCUACUGGUACGAGAAGGUAUCAAUUAUACUUACGGCUGUUAUUGUCCUGACCACAAUUGUGAAGGCGGAGCCUGGAAUUAUGGGAGGGGCCAGUGCUGAUAUAAAUACUCACCCUCUGCCCUAUACUCCUCCUAGGCUUUCUUUCCGUUUUGAGUCCCACCCACCACUCUACCUUUUUAAAAUUAUUAUUAUUUCACUUAAUCUACCUUCCUUGGUGGGCCCACUUUAUUUACAGGUCUACCAAUACGUUGGUUUCGGCACACCCCAACCUAAUUAGUCAUACUCCUACUGGUAUGAGAAGGUAUCAAUUAUACUUACGGCUGUUAUUGUCCUGACCACAAAUGUAUAUAUAUAGCAUAUAUAUAUAUAUACCGGUAUAUAUAUAUAUAUACACACAUAUAUUAAAUCUAUAUAACGUCAUACUAAGUGUAUUUUUAUUAAUAUAUACAUAUAUUAAUAUAAAAAUACACUUAGAGUAAAAGUACACACAUAUAUAUAAUAUAUAUAACAACUAUAAAUUAUUAUAAAACAUAAAUAAUAAUUAAUUAAAAAUGAAUGUAAAAAUAAUAAAAAAGCUAAGAACAAGUAAACAUUCGGUAUUUCUAAACUCGGGACAAAACUUUGAAACUAUUUAGCACGGAUGUGCUGACAGGCAGUUUCCCUGCAAGGGUAAAAUCAAAAAUAAAGUUUAAAAGAAGCAAUCAGUGUAAAAGAAAAAUAUAUAUAUAUGUAUAUAUAUAUAAGAUAUAUAUAGAUGUAUUAUAUCUAUAUAUAAUAUGUAUAUAUCUUAUAUACAUAAUGUCAAACUAAGUGUAUUUUUAUAUUUAUAUAUAUAUAUAUAUUAAUAGAAAAAUACACUUAUAUUUAAAUUCCACACAUAUAUAUAUAUAAUAUAUAUAAUAACUAUAUAUAUUGUAUAUAUAUAUAUUAUUAUAAAAUAUAAAUAAUUAGUAAAUAAAAAUAAAUAAAAAAUGUAAAAAUAAUUUUUACAAAAAUUAUAUAUAUAUAUAUAUAUAUAUAUAUGUAAUUUAAUUCUAACGGUAUUUUAAUAUUAAUAUAUAUAUUUAUAUCAAAAUACACUUAGAAUGAAAUGAUAUAUAUAUAUCUUUGUAUAAAUAAAUAAAUAAAAAUAAUACGAAAUAUACAUAUAGCCAUAUACAAAAUUACAUAAAUAAUUUCAUAAAUAUACACGUAGACUUCAAAUAUAUAAAUAUGUAUAUAUAUUUAAAUUCUACGUGCAUAUUUAUGUAAUAUUUUUACAUAAUUAAAUAAUUUUAUUGAUUGCAAUUUGAGGGACAUGCCUGACAACCCAGGCUGAACGUCCAGAGAAUUUAAUUUGCCAUCACUGUGUUUAACCCUGUAACUUUCUAAAACCUGUAGUUGGGGGGUACUGUUUUACCCAGGAGACUUCGCUGAACACAAAUAUUAGUGUUUCAAAACAAUAAAACAUAUUACAGAGAUGAUAUUGUCAGUGAAAGUGACGUUUUUUGCAUUUUUGACACACAAACGGCGCUUUCACUGCUGAUAUUAUUGCUGUAAUAUGUUUUACUGUUCUGAAACACUAUUAUUUGUGUUCAGCGAAGUCUCCUGAGUAUAACAGUACCCCACAUGUAGAGGUUUUAUAGUGCUUUUGAAAGUUACAGGGUCAAAUAUAAGGCUUGAUUUUACUUUUUUUUUUUUUUUCAUUGAAAUUUGUCAGAUUGGUAAUGUUUCCUUUGAGAGCGUAUGGUAGCCCAUGAAUGAGAAUUACCCCCAUGAUGGCAUACCAUUUGCAAAAGAAAACAACCCAAGGUAUUGCAAAUGGGGUAUGUUCAACCUUUUUUAGUAGCCACUUAGUCACAAACUAAGCUAGCGUUUUUUGCAUUUUUAACACACAAACAAAUAUAAAUGCUAACUUUGGCCAGUGUUUGUGACUAAGUGGCUACUCAAAAAGACUUGACAUACCCCAUAUUGAAUACCCUGGGUUAUCUACUUUAAAAAAAAAAUAUAGAUGUGGGGUGUUUUUCAGAGAUUUAUGACAGAUAACAGUGUUACAAUGUCACUAUUGAUAAAUGUAAAAUAUAUAUAUAUAUUGAAAGAGCAAUUUCCUACUUGUACUUAUAGCCCUAUAACUUGCAAAAAAAAAAGCAUGUAAACACUGGGUGUUUUUAAAUUCAGGACAAAAUUUUGAAUCUAUUUAGCAGUUUUUUUCAUUAGCUUUUGUAGAUAAGUAAAAGAUUUUUCAAGUAAAAGACCAAAAACAUGUUUUUUUUUUAAAAAUUUCACCAUAUUUUUUAUUUAUUUUUUUAAGUAAUAUAUGACGUAAUACAUGACAUGAUACAAAUAAUGGUAUGUAAAGAAAGCCCCUCUUGUCCUGAAAAAAACAAUAUAUAAUUUGUAUGGGAACCGUAAAUGAGAGAGCGGAUUACAGCUAAACACAAACAGCACAAAAGUGUUAAGACCGCUCUGGUCCUUAACGUACAACAUGGCCAAAACAGGCCGGUUAAAGGGAGACUAUAGUCACCAGAACAACUACAGCUUAAUGUAGUUGGAGGUGCUUCCUGGCUCAGUGCUGCACAGUAGGCAGCACUGCCAUUCAGCGUCUCCACGCUCUGCAUGGGGACGCUGAAUUUUCCUCAUAGAGAUGCAUUGAUUUAAUGCAUCUCUAUGAGGAGGGGCUGAUUGGCCAAAACAAUGUUUGGCCACGCCCCAUGCUGAUUUCAGCCAAUCCAAUGCUUUCCCAUGGGCAAUCCUGAUGAUGUCACCAGGGGCAGAGCUAGCACCGGCAGCCCUGCAAGAAACUUGAAAUAAGGGGAGUUUUAAUUGCUUUUAAGGGGGUAAGCCACCUUAAUGUUGAGUUUAGCACUAUAGGGUCAGGAAUACAUGGUUGUGUUUCUGACCCUACAGUGUUCCUUUAAUGGUAAGAAAAUUGAAAAAUGGUCUGGUCACUAAUGGGGUUAAUAAAGUAUACAAGUUAUUUUCUAGUUUGUUCACUCACAUCCUUCUUAUCCUACCCAUCAUGCUGUUAAGAGAACAGUCAGCCACUGGCCUAUUGACAUAGGAUAUCCUGUACUGUGUGUUUGCCUCAUGCCGAUUUAAUUUCCUUGUCUGCGUGUUUUCACUAUACAGAUAGAUUAGAUAGAUAGGCUAAUGAACACAUGAACAUUGCGCCCAAGUGUUGCAACCACAACAAAAAAACAACAUCUAUGUAUACCGUGCUCACAAUUUCUACUUGUCACUAGCUUUUGGCAAGUGACAAUGUAGGCCUGUGAACUAUUAAUUCAUCCAUGGUGACUGUGCCAUUGGCCCUCAGGUGUUCAGGGCAAGAAGGAUCAAUGCAAUAAUUACAACUAGAGCACUUAACAGGUUACAUACCUUUCUAGAUAGAAUAUAGCUGUGAUGGACCCUCUGUCAAUCGAUGAUCCUAGUGCUUACCAAGGACCAUCAGCACCGCACCAGACACCAUAAGCACUGCAGAUCCCAUGAACUGCCGCUGCUUGGCUGGGAACUCACCGUCCUCUACCCACCCCGGACCUACGACUAGGCUCCAGGUUCCAGUGGGUGAAUCUCUCGUCCAAGAGAGAGUAGCAGGAACAAGCUCUUAAAAGAGCUUAGUGAUUAUAUCCCAGGGGAGUAUACAGAGUAUAGCCAUCCCCCAGUGUAGAUGCAGCCUUUUCCCCCCACACAUGAGACGAGGCUCUGUGUUGAGGGUAAAACAGGAACUCAGCAGAUCUGAGGGCUUAUUGUCUUUUAUACAGUUUUCCCCACAAGGUUACCACCCAGGUGGACCUUGUGGAGCACAAGACACAAGGUCACAAAACCAAUCAAAACAGUAUUGUACAGUUAGACACUCCCAGCUAAUGUACACAAACCCUCCCCUCUGCCUGUGAUACAAUUACCAAAGACAAUGAGCUAACUCAAUUAACUCGAAACAGAAAAAAACAUACAUUUUUACAAACCCCCAAAUGUACCCCAAAAUACAACAUAUCACAAGUCACUUCCCCUGAUAGCCCCGAUCUGGGUGAACAACAUAUCCAAAAAUCACCCAGAUCGAUUCAGGGGUUCAGGAAUUUCCUGGAAGUCUUAUUUUUGCCCACUGUGCACAUGGUCCCAUGCCCAAAACAGUUCCAUACAGUCAACGACAAAACACUGCUGGACAUUUUAAGAUGGUCGCCGCCACAUGUUUGAAAGGGGCAUUGUGCCAAGUCCCAAUAUGCAGAAAUAGUAUUUUUAAAAGACAAUACAUCCCAGGGGCCAUAUUUACAGGGCAAGAGGCUGGCAAGCAGGCCUCUCCAAAACACAGUGGCGAGGUUACUUUCGCCACAAUAGCUAUCUUUACAUUCAUAAAUAACAUGCAGUUAAACCUAAUAAAUAUUCUGCUGGUUUAAAAGCAAUUAACAAAUAUAUACUAAUGUUUAAAAAGUAUGAUUAAAGGGAUUCUAUAGUGUAAAGAAUACAAAGUCGUAUUCCUUACACUAUAGAGCCCUCUAAUGCAGUAUGUGUGAGGGGAGCAGUAUGUUAGGGGGCAGUGUGUUUGAAGGGUGCUGACUCUUAGGGGUGCUGUGUGUGAGGGGUCCAGGCCAUGAGUGGCGGAGUGUGUGUGAGUGGCAGUGUGUGUGUGUGAGACAGUGUGUGUGUGUGGCAGUGUGUGUGUGGGGGCAGUGUAUGUGUUUGUGUGUGGGGGGCAAUCUGUGUGAGGAGGCUGUGUGUAUGUAGGGCAUGAAUGUAGAAUGCAGGGUGUAAGUGAAUGCUGUGUGUAUGUAGAGUAUGAACGUAGAAUGUGCAGGGUGUAAGUGAAUGCUGUGUGUAUGUAGAGUAUGAAUGUAGAAUGUGCAGGGUGUAAGUAUAUGCUGUGUGUAUGUAGGGGGUGAAUGUAGAACGCAGGGUGUAAGUGAAUGCUGUGUGUAUGUAGAGUAUGAAUGUAGAAUGUGCAGGGUGUAAGUAUAUGCUGUGUGUAUGUAGGGCAUGAAUGUAGAACGCAGGGUGUAAGUGAAUGCUGUAUGUAUGUAUGUAGGGCAUGAAUAUAGAACCCAGGGUGUAAGUGAAUGCUGUGUGUAUGUAGGGCAUGAAUGUAGAAUGCAGGGUGUAAGUAUAUGCUGUGUGUAUGUAGGAUAUGAAUGUAGAAUGCAGGGUGUAAGUGAAUGCUGUGUGUAUGUAAGGCAUGAAUGUAGAAUGCAGGGUGUAAAUAUAGUAUGAGGAAGCAGUAUGAACACGUGGCAAUGAAAAGGUUAAAUAAAAUGUAUAUUCCCUUCUGUUACUUUCUGGAUAAAAAUUAAAAAAAAUAAAACCCAUUCCCAAUUUCCAUGGAAUAACCUUUUCAGCAGCCGUGCACUGACGUAUUUCAGUUCUGCCUGUUUCCCCUAUUAUUAUCAAUGGACUUCUGUUUUGACUUCCUGUAUUUCCUCUCCUUCCUGCAAGUCUGGAUAAACAGAUUGGAAGAAAAAUUCAUUUUAAAAAAGCUUAAUCAUGCUGCGUAAUUGGAGCGUUGCAAAGGGAACGACCUUCCUACCUUUAUAAUAAAAAGAGCUGUAACCUUUUUUUAUUAUCAUCCCAUGCGUCAAUAGAAAGUAUAUCACACAGAAUAGGAAAUAUUUCAUUUUCUUAGCUCGCUGCCAUUUAACCACUUCCUGCUUCUUAGACCUUUGUCCAUCUGGAUCAGUCUUCUGUGUUUUAAAAUUAUUAUGUUGCCUACUAAAUGGUCUGCUAGUAAAAUAGCAGGUCUGCAUUACUCUGAUAUCAGUAUUGAAAUAGCCUUAUGUGGAAUAACUAAGACUUUAUCUAAAGUAUGUGCCAUUGCUUCGAUCCCUUAUUAUAGCACAAAGAGAGUUACUUAUUUACUGGCUUAACAUUGAUUUUGUAACAUGUUCGUUACUUGCUAACAAAAAAAAAAAACCCCAUAAGUACACAAGCAAAACAAAGGUUUUCUGUUACGACUGAUCCUUUGUUAUAUUUAACUUAUUCACUGCCAAGUUCAUUUAGCCUUACGCUUUAUUUGAAAUAAUUAUGGGAUCCAUAGCUGGCAUGUGAUGUCACAACAAUCCGAGAAUCCACACCUCCCAACAUUUCAAAUAGGACACUUUAAUUUUAAGGGUGUGAGUGGAAGUAUUAGGUGACCUGGUAAUAGCAAUUUAUGCAACUACAAUGUAAUUUAGAACAAGAACAAUGUAUCUUAUUUACACAGACUGAUGUAUACAUACCUUUAUUGUAUUUUAAAGGUACAUCCAUUUUAGUGGUAUUGCUGUUUAGGUCUGUUAUACCCUCAGACAUACCAACAAUAUGGAGCUUCUAGAAAAAGAGGGAAAUUAGGAUAGAAAAUAGUGACAGAUGGAUUUGUGUCAAAAAUAGGGACUGUCCCUCCUAAAUAGGGAUAAUUGGGCAGUAUGUCAGACUCAGAAUCCCUGACCUAGGAACACAGACCAACAAAGGCCUUCCUUCGACAUACACACAUUUACCUAACAUACAUGUUACUUAUACACAGACAGGCUGGCAGGCAGACAGACAGAUUUACACAUACACACAAAUGAAGACACACAUUUUGUUGAAACAUCUCUGUUCUGAAAAUUGUCAACCAUGAAAUGUUUUCGUAUAAACGCUUGCAAUUUAGAUAUAUUUCGUCAAAAUAUAUUACCCUUAGAUAUAUUGCUAUGUCUUGGUCAUACAAAUCAUUUAUGAAGGACCCUUGUAUUCUUGCAUUUUUGUGAUCUAAAAGGUCAAUGUCAUUGGUUUCUAAGGUAAAGUAUUUUAUUGUAUGAAAUGGAUUCCACAAUCACAGGAAAUGUCACAAAACACCAUCCAUUUCCCAUUUCUAGAGAAAGUCUCUUGUGAAAAACUGGUGAUUGCCACACAGAGGCACGUGGCUCAUCAAAAGUUCACCUUUUACUCAGGAAUGUAAGGACAAUGAAGGGAUUUAGUACAAAACAAAGUGAUUACCUGUCUCACAAACAGCACACAAUCAACAUUUAGAGUGCGCAACAUUGCUGCUCUGCUGUUACUGAAACUAUUAUUGAUUGGAGUAUGUUGGACUCAUAUAUAAAUUAUUGUAACAGUUCUUUUAGAGCAAGCAUGUCAAACUCUCGGCCCGUGGGCCGGCCCACAAUGACCAUCUUUGCGGCCCGGCGAGCCGUGAGUACAUGCUGAUGUUAUAGCAGAGUAGGCACCUGCUUUCCCCACAUUGCAGGUGCCUACUCUGCUAACACUUACCCGGCCGGGAGGAGGGGACGGUGGAUGCAGCGAGGGAACUCAGUGUUCCUGCUCCUCACUGCUCCCUUGCGCACGCUGACUGAAGUGAAGCUGGGUGCCAGAAUAUGACGUCAUAUUCCGGCACCACUAAACCGCGCACGGGAGCAGUGAGGAGCAGGAAGGACCCCAGGGAGAUGCCCCACAUUGGCUCCAUAAGGCAAGAAGCAAUACAGAAAAGUAUGUGUGUGUGAGUUUGUCUGUGUCAGUAAGUGUGUCUGUCUGUCGGUCAGUCAGUGUGUGUGUCUGUCAGUGAGUAUGUGUGUCUGUCAGCAAGUAUGUGUGUGUGUGUUUUAGUGAGUAUGUGUGUGUGUCUGUCAGUGAGUGUGUGCCUGUAUGUGUGUGUCUGUGAGUAUGUGUGUGUGUCUGUAUGUGUGUGUCUGUCUGUCAGUGAGUAUGUGUGUCUGUCAGCAAGUAUGUGUGUCUGUCAGCAAGUAUGUGUGUGUGUGUCUGUCAGUGAGUGUGUGCCUGUAUGUGUAUGUCUGUGAGUAUGUGUGUGUGUGUGUGUGUUUGUCAUGGUGUGUGUGUGUGUGUCAUGGUGUGUGUGUGUCUCUGUCAUGGUGUGUGUGUCUGUGUCAUUGUGUGUGUGUGUCUGUCAUAUAAUGCGUGUCUGUCUGUGUCAUGGUCUGUCUGUGUUAUGGUGUGUGUGUGUCUGUCAGUGAGUGUGUGUCUGUAUGUGUGUGUCUGUAUGUGUGUGUCUGUCUGUCAGUGAGUAUGUGUGUCUGUCAGCAAGUAUGUGUGUGUGUGUGUGUCUGUCAGUGAGUGUGUGCCUGUAUGUGUGUGUCUGUGAGUAUGUGUGUGUGUGUGUGUGUGUCAUGGUGUGUGUGUCUCUGUCAUGGUGUGUGUGUCUGUCUGUGUCAUGCAAUGUGUAUCUGUGUCAUUGUGUGUGUGUGUCUGUCAUGUAAUGCGUGUCUGUCUGUGUCACGGUCUGUCUGUGUUAUGGUGUGUGUGUGUCUGUCAGUGAGUGUGUGUCUGUAUGUGUGUGUCUGUGAGUAUGUGUGUGUGUCUGUAUGUGUGUGUCUGUCUGUCAGUGAGUAUGUGUGUCUGUCAGCAAGUAUGUGUGUGUGUGUCUGUCAGUGAGUGUUUGCCUGUAUGUGUAUGUCUGUGAGUAUGUGUGUGUGUGUGUCAGUGAGUGAGUGUCUGUAUGUGUGUGUCUGUGAGUAUGUGUUUGUGUCUGUAUGUGUGUGUCUGUCUGUCAGUGAGUAUGUGUGUAUGUGUCUGACUGUCAGUGAAUAUGUGUGUGUGUGUCCGUGCGGCCCGUGCUUGUUUUAGAGAGUGAAAUAAAAGUUCUUAUCAUAAGACAUUUUAAAGAACAUGACAAUGAAAAACUUAAGGGUGCACUCCAAGCACCAAAACCACUACAGCUCAAUUUACUGGAUAGGAUCACUCUGGGUGCCAUGGAAACCAUCUUUGUUGUUUUGGGGGGAGGGGGCGUUUACGUCAAACCAUUCCAAAACAAUUUGACAAAAAAAAGAAAAGCAAAAAAUAAACUAAAAAAUUGAGGGACAGCACUAUAAGUCUACUAUACACUUACAAUAUACUAUAUUGAACUGUAGAGUUCAUGUUUAUUAGCUUAUGCAAAUGGUAGUGCUUAAAUUGUCCCUUUAAAUUUCAGGAAAAGCAAAUGUUCUUGACCAAAAAUAUCUCUAGGUUAUUUAAGUUGUUUUAUUUAACACCAAUACAUAUCUAAUUGUGUAUUAUUGGUCAUUACGGUUUGUAUUACUUGUAAUCUGCUGAUAGCUAUUUGUAUCAAUAAUAAAGGUCAUUUCAUUUAACUCUGGGAAUAUAAAUAUCUUAUUGUCCCAUUAUCUUUUUUUUUUUUUUUUGCUGGCCUCUACUUCUAAAUUAGAACCAUGCGUGACAAUUGUUCAUUUCAAAUGUUGUGCACAUCCAUCUGGAACGUUGUUAUCAUAAAGCAUUCCAACACUGUAGCAGAAAAAAAAAACCUAUCAUGAUUCUGAGUUUAAAAUUGCAUUCACUACUACACACGUUCCAACGAGACUUGAGGGAAUGGUCCUACCCGCACAUAUCGUGGCUCGGGAGAGUGCAGGUCAUAAAAAUGAACUUCCUUCCGCGCCUCUUAUACCUCUUCCAGGCCAUCCCCACUGUCAUACCAGGCCCCUUCUUUAACACACUCAGAAAAGAAAUGAUAAAAUACGUAUGGAACGGGAGGAGGCCCAGAGUGAAAUUUUCCACACUGACACGUCCUAAAGACAAAGGGGGACUAGCCCUUCCAGACUUCCACCAGUACUACGUAGCCACACACCUGCAGAGAAUCAUGGAGUGGUCUAAAGACGGAGUUCACAAACUAUGGAAGACAGUGGAAGAGGCAGAAGCAGGCAGACCGAUCUCGGGGCUUCCCUGGGGCCGAGACACAACCGAUAGAGGUGACAUGUCCAUAUACACGAGACACACUAUGAGAGUUUGGAGGAAGGCCGCAAAGAAAGGGAAUAUGGCACCGUACCCCUCCCCCCUCUUGCCCCUGACACACAACGAGGACUUCCCGCCGGGUCUAGACCCUGGAACCCUCAAACACAUCUUCCCAGACAGUACCCCACGCCUACACCACUUCCUUCAAGGUGGGAAAUGUAAAACACUAACGGACUUGAUGGGAGAGACGCCCCCGACCUUUAUGCACCGCUUCCGACAUGCCCAACUGACCAAUUACAUCCACUCCCUACCACAGGGACCAGCACUGGCCAGAGACCAGACCACGAUAGAAGUGGUCAGCUCACACCCAGACCCGCUCCCGCAUGGAGUGUCCUUCUUAUAUUCCAUGCUCCAAUCAGAAACCCCGUCCGAGACACCACUAUUCAUGGGAAAAUGGGAAACAGCCCUGGGUAACACACUAACGGAAGCAGAAUGGGAAACCAUCUGCUACCUUACACACCACUGUUCCACUCACAGCAAAACACAGGAAACGGCCUACAAGCUUCUAACACAUUGGUAUAGGACACCACAUCUCCUUCAUCACGUAAACCCAGACCACUCCAGACUCUGCUGGAGAUGUGAAAGAGAGGUGGGCACCACAAAACACAUCUGGUGGGAUUGCGCGUUGAUCCAACCAUACUGGAAGAGGAUACACAAAAUGCUAGAGAAGUUCGCGGACGCGCCCCCCCCCCUGGAACCGGCAGCGAUGCUCCUACACCACACAACAGUUCCCCGAUCCAAAUACAAAAAAUCCAUGACCAUUAGAAUACUUAACGUGGCCAAACGAGUGCUCCCCCAAUUCUGGAAACAAACAGUUACACCUCCACUUUCGACCUGGUUUAGCCAAAUGGAAGAGCUAAGGUCAAUAGAGGAACUGACCAUGACGGCCAACACUACACCCACUACCUACAUGAGCAUCUGGACGCACUGGAUUCUAGAGACGGCAAAAGAAGAGUUCCAAUUAGAACUCAGGCCUAACACUAACGGGAAUCACGACACAGACAGAUAGUACUCAGAACACACACCACAGACGACGCUAGAUGGACGACAGACGAACUGGACGGAACUACCCCCCCCCCUCCUUCCUUUCUUCCCACCCAGACACAUUCCCCCCCUCUUGCCCCCUGCGAAAUACCAGAGCAUCAUCAUUGACUGAAUCAUCCCCACCGCACCCAUAGCGACAAGGGAAAACAUAUUUGGGAACGAUCAACGAACACGAACUGGUACUUACAUCCAGACCGGCCCGGGAAGACACCCCAAAGCCAAAACAUGCGAACACCUGAAGGAACCCUGGACAGGCCCAGCAUUGACACGGCUAAUGCAGUAUCCACACGCCCAAGGUAAGGGUACCCUUUACCCGCAAUACCACCAUUCCCCUGGUUAAACACGGGAAACACCGAUAGUAAUAACGGGGGUAAACACAAGCCCACCACGGUCGAUGACACAUAGCUAAGGACACAGGGCCCGAUGAGACGCCGUGGACAGGGACCAUAGGGGUGGCCUACAAACACUGACACCUAAUCAAAGACUGAUUAAUCUGGUUCAAGGACGAUUACAAAGCAUUAUUUUCACUCAGUUCAUGAAAACGUUACUUAAUUUAUAGUCCCAAACAAAUGUAAAUACCAGAAAAUGGGGACCUGCGAGUCCUUCUGUGAUGGGGCCUGCGAGCCUAAUUUGUUACCUUUUAUAAUAACAUGCAAUGGAGACCUGCGCGUCUCACCGCAAAUUUAAAUACACAAAAUGAAUAAAAAUCAUAUUCACAAAAAAAAAAAAUUGCAUUCACAAACAUUAAUUAAAAAAAACUACAACAACAUUCUGGGAUUUUGUCACAUGCAUGGCCAAGUGCCCACAGCGCUACCCCCCUCUCACUUACCUUGAUGGAUCUAAUUUCCCCAUUGCCUCAAAAGUACAAGGAUAUUAAAGGAAUACUCCAAAUAUCAUCAGAACAGCUGAUGCCAAUAUACCAAGCCCUGCUCCGCUGGGCUUAACUUAGGCUUUUGUAACAGAUAACGUAUAUAUUAAAAAAGUAUUCUAUAAUUACAUUUAGUUUAAUUAACAAUUAUAUAUUAGACUUUGUGCAUUUGGUUUCAAUCAAAGUGUAAUUCAUCCAAAUUAUGUAUUUCCAAAGAGCCAUAUGGGCGUACACAUGAACAAAAGAUUAGAGCAAUGGACAAGUUCGUUUGAUUCAGGAUUCCGAGCUCCACCCAUAGCGCCAAACAAAAAGAGAUGCCUGAUGGGGAAAAAAGAAGGAUUGAUAGAGGACAGCCGCUAAAUGUUGAUUUUAUUAAUAGAUUAAAUGAGAAGUGACAAAGAGAGGGGACCCAAGUGAGCAGCAGUAAGAGUGGUGUAUUGAGAUAUUUAUAUAUUCACUAUUUGAUAACUUGAUAUAAAUAUAGAUUUAUUUUUUUACUUCACCUCCUUUUCUCCCUCUGUUGGCUACUUUUUCUCACUUGAUUUGUGAAUCAAAUGGCGGAAAAUGUGCUGUAAAGUAUAUUACUAAUAUUUACAUUAUAUAUAUAUAUAUAUAUAUAUAUAUAUUUAUAUAUAUAUAUAUAUAUAUAUAUAUAUAUAUAUUUGUAUAUAUAUAUAUAUAUAUAUGCAGUACACCGAUUCAACCUUUUUCACAGUUUUUUUGUUAAUCUGUAUCAUUUUCCUGAAUAUUAAAUUUUUUCUGAUGAGCCAAACCGGCAAAUAAAGGAAAGUUGGACAUCCUGAACUAAAUUUCAUUUUCUCUAAAACAAAACAAACCAAACCAAAUUUUUAUGUUGUGCACAAGUCUAUUAUAUAAAGUUAAUUGCAAACCUUGGCAACAUGCAUUAACUGGCCUGUGGUUAUCUUGUAUAAUCUUAUUACGUAGUAAAUAUGACACAUAAAAAUAACAUUCUGACAUUCGUUACUCAUAAAGAAUGCUUUACUACACAGAAUAAAUAAAUGACAUGUAGUAUGUGAUAUUCAUCAUUUGUAAGAGAACGUAUUCACCUUCAACACAGAGAUGUGUGUUGAGAUCUUUCACUAGCUAGAGUAGUAAUAUUAUAUAGCUACAUACACAACAGAGAUUACACGCCACAAUGAAACCAGAAUUUAUGUGGGAUUUCACACGUCUUCAGCCAGAGAAACCAACAUAACACUGACUAUACGGAAGUUUCUUAUGCAUAUAAUGUCAGCAACCGUGUAAUACUUCCAAUGUAAGAUGUGAGUAAAUUAUUCCAUAUAUCACUGAUUCUUAUCACUGAUCUUUUUGGACAAGUACUCAAAUCCCAUAUGUGUCAUUACCUUUCUGACUUAUUCUUCAGUUUAAAAUGAUCACGUGUUAUCAGAAGUAAUUAGUGAUGUCCCGAACGGUUCGCCGCGGACUCAUCAUUGAGUAAACUUUGACCCUGUACCUCACAGUCAGCAGACACAUUCCAGCCAAUCAGCAGCAGACCCUCCCUCCAGACCCUCCCACCUCCUGGACAGCAUCCAUUUUACAUUCAUUGUGAAGCUGCAUUCUUAGUGAGCUGUCCAGGAGGUGGGAGGGUCUGGGAGGGAGGGUCUGCUGCUGAUUGGCUGGAAUGUGUCUGCUGACUGUGAGGUACAGGGUCAAAGUUUACUCAAUGAUGAGUCCGUGGCGAAGCGUUCGGCGAAGCGUUCGGGACAUCACUAGAAGUAAUAUAUAUCCAAAUUAAUUCUGUAAAAACCCUUUUAUUUUACUAUUCCCAGAAUCAUAGUGGUCACCAUUGCUCGGAGGACGUCAGGGCUGUUACAGUUAAAAGAUUAUUAUGGAAAAUUGUAUGGAAAGGGGUUAAAGCCACAAGCAAACUGUAAUAAAUGUUUCACCUACAGAACUUGCGAAGGGAACCGAACAGCUUAUCCAUUCCAAGUAGAUAUGAGUAAUUAUUAUAACAACAACAUUUGGUAGAACCUGCUGGCUGACUGCAACAUGUCAAAUCAACAAAUGUUUCACAAAUGCCAAUGUUCAGCGCUUAACAUGAUUGUUCCAAACAGUGUUAUCACUUAAACAAACUUCAAAGUUAAAUCACUGUGAAAAGUUCAUUCCACAGGCAAUUGUAAACAGUAAAAAAGGAAAGCAAAGCGCACGUAGACAAAAAUAUUAAAAUUAAACCAUGAAAAAAAUGAAAUUGCAUAGCUUUAUCUAUAUUUUUUAUCUAAAAAAAAAUGUUAUUGCCCAACUUCCUCUACAAUGCUUCCUAUCCACAUUUUGCAAAUUUUUCUUGUUCUGAAGGUACUUCCACAUGUUGCAUGUUCUUGUUUUCGGUAGGCCAGGAUUUAGGAAAAGGGUCUCAGAUGCAAUGUAUGGCCUAAUGCCGGACUAAGCCAAUCAUAAAUUACUUUGCACUAAGGAAAGGAUUACACCUGGACAUCAAAAGCUUUCACCUACUUAUGCGUGGAUCUUUUUCUUCCCAACUCCCCAUUUAUUCUGGGAGCAUGAUGUAAUAUUUUUCCCGAAUUUAUUCUGCAGCUUGAUUUUACUUUUGCCAUGCAAUACAAUGGAUCUAAUCCAUGUGCAUUCUAUAACCAAUGGACUUGGUCUAUUGCUAUCCUUGUUAUCAGGGUUCUCAUAUACCAGACACAAUUGGCAGGACAAGAAUCAUAAGAUAGCAAGUCUGCUUUUAUCAUUGACGGUGUAGAAGUUUUGAGAUAACAGCACAUAUUUUCUCAUUUUUGCUGCAGUCGGCCUAGCAUAGUCUGGCUUGGAGAGAAACUGUCAUCAAUCACCAGUUAAAUUUGAUAGUUUGUGACAUAGAUGUAUCUAGAGUGGGUUCUCCAAGCAGGAAGAAAUGUCAUGGAGAUGGCAGAGCCAAAAGUAUUUAUUAUCGCCAUACCAAAUCAUGGCUCAUUGCCUCUCCAGCAUUGAUAUGGGUUUCUCCCCAGUGUUCUUGCUUAUAAGUGCGUUCUCCCUCCCUCUACCUAUUCAUCUAGUAUUAUUCUAGUUUCUGUCAAACACUCGCCUAUUCUCCCUUUAGAUACUACUUUAAGAUUUGCCAAAGGCUCUUCUAUGAGCUCAUUGUUGGAUAUUAACAUGGGAACACACAACCAUUUUAUGUGACCUCAUAGAAAAUUUAUGCUGUGUAUGUUCCUGUAUAUAUGCACUAGAACUUUUAUUGUGACUCCUCACUUAAAGGACUACUCCAACGACCAUGACCUCUUCGGCUUCUAGAAGUGGUCAUGGUGGUCAAAGAUUGUAUGUGCAGAGUUUCUGCUUAAAAUGAUGCACAUUCAGAGAUGUUUGCACGUUUGUGUCAAGUGCUAGUUACACCCCCUGCACAAGAGACUUAGGAAUCCUUCCUAGUAUUAAUUCUAUGCAAUAAUUACUUCUGUUGUUGGUGCGCACAAAUCUCUGGCAACAGACAUAAGUCUCCCUCUCCUCUGUGUACUCCUUCCCCGCUUUCAUGCAUUGAUAGCAAUCAGAUUUAGAAAAAUAAUAAUAAAAAAUACCGUCCCUCCCCAGCUAAGAGCAUGCACACACGUUCUGAGCAGCUAGAAAGGUCCAAUUAAAUGCUUCUAUAUGGGAAGCAGUUGACAGAAGUGGGCAGGGGUGACGGGUCAUGGAAACAUAGAAACAUAGAAUGUGACGGCAGAUAAGAACCAUUCGGCCCAUCUAGUCUGCCCAAUUUUCUAAAUACUUUCAUUAGUCCCUGGCCUUAUCUAAUAGUUAGGAUAGCCUUAUGCCCAUCCCACGCAUGCUUAAACUCCUUUACUGUGUUAACUUCUACCACUUCAGCUGGAAGGCUAUUCCAUGCAUCCAAUACCCUCUCAGUAAAGUAAUACGCCCUGAUAUUAUUUUUAAACCUUUGUCCCUCUAAUUUAAGACUAUGUCCUCUUGUUGUGGUAGUUGUUCUUCUUUUAAAUAUAGUCUCCUCCUUUACCAGUGCGGUUACCUUCCCUCGGUGCCAGUUUCCAGGUAAGUUGUUCUUUAUUUUCAGCAUUAUAAGGGGGACAUAGUUAAUAAUGUCAGGUAGGGCAUUGUAAACUUAAUGACAACCAGGGUAACCAUUUAGUGAUACAUGGGGCCAGGGCCGGACUGGGAGAAAAAUUCGGCCCGGGCAUUUUUUUAACACAGCGGCCCACUAAAAAGGGGGCGGGGCAGAGGAGGUGUGUUUUGUCAUCACCAAUGACAAACACGCCUCCUCUCAAAGUGAGCAUGUUGGUUCAAUGCUCUUCCAGGGCAGACCAUGCGCAGAGCUCUGCUGAAGAGCUCUAGCAUGAGAAAAAAGUCCUGUAUUUGUUCUGCACAGUGCAAGCAAAUUUAAUAACAUGCUUGCACUGUGUUUCCUUGCAACUUGUCUCUGGUGUCUCUAUAAAUGGAUACCAGGAGACAAAAGGCCAGGAAAGAGUAUUGUGCAUGUGUUUGGAGCCUGCUUGUGGUAUUGCGUGUGUGUAGAGUGAGCUGGUCGUGGUGUGGUAUUGUGUAAUAAGGUCGGUUUUAGUCGUGUUGUGUUUGUGGUGUAAUGUGAUGCAUAUGUGGCUCAGGAACCCCCUCCCGCCCGGCUCUGGAAAGGGGUUAAAACUUACCUUUUUCCAGCGCCGGGCGGGGAGCUCUCCUCCUCCGAUCCGCCCCGUCGGCUGAAUGCGCACGCGCGGCAAGAGCUGCGCGCGCAUUCAGCCGGUCGCAUAGGAAAGCAUUUAUAAUGCUUUCCUAUGGACGCUUGCGUGCUCUCACUGUGAUUUUCACAGUGAAAAGCACGCAAGCGCCUCUAGCGGCUGUCAAUGAGACAGCUGCUAGAGGCUUUGGGGGAAGGCUUAACCCAUUGAUAAACAUAGCAGUUUCUCUGAAACUGCUAUGUUUAUAAAACAAUGGGUUAACCCUAGAAGGACCUGGCACCAAGACCACUUCAUUAAGCUGAAGUGGUCUGGGUGGCUAGAGUGGUCCUUUAAGAGUGUAGUGUGUGUAUGUAUAUGUAUGUAUGUGUGUGUGUGUGUGUGUGUGUGUGUGUAUGUAUAUAGAUAUAUAUUUAUAUAUUUGGAAGUAUUGUGUAUGUGUGUGGUGCAGUGUGUUGGGGGGGUUCUGUGUGUGUGUGAGGGUGCGGUGUAUGUGUGUGUGUGAGGGUGCGAUGUGUGUGAGAGUGCCGUGUGUGUGUGUGUGAUGUGUGAGAGUGCCGUGUGUGAGUGAUGGGUGUGAGAGUGCUGUGUGAGAUGGGUGUGAGAGAGUGCUCUGUGAGAGUGCUGUGUGUGAUGGGUGUGAGAGUGCUGUGUGUGUGUGAGUGCUCUGUGAGAGUGCGCUGUGUGUGAUGGUGUGAGAGUGCUGGGUGUGAGAGUGCUGUGUGUGAUGGGUAAGAGAGUGCUGGGUGUGAGUGCUGUGUGUGAUAGUGCUGUGUGUGAUAGUGCUGUGUGUGAUAGUGCUGUGUGUGAUAGUGCUGUGUGUGAUGGGUGUGAGAGUGCUGUGUGAGAGAGUGCUGUGUGUGAUGGGUGUGAGAGUGCUGUGUGAGAGAGUGCUGUGUGUAAUGUGUGUGAGAGUGCUGUGUGUGAUGGGUGAGAGUGCUGUGUGUGAUGGGUGAGAGUGCUGUGUGUGAGAGUGCUGUGUGUAAUGUGUGUGAGAGUGCUGUGUGUGAUGGGUGAGAGUGCUGUGGGAGAGAGUGCUGUGUGUGAUGGGUGUGAGAGUGCUGUAUAAAUGUUAUUGUGUGUGUGUGUAGGGGGGGGUAAAUAAAAAAAUAAAAAAAACAGGCAUUAUUCCCCCUCCCCCCCCUUCUUACCUUUAGCCUGGAAGGGAGGGGGGGGGACCGGCACGCUGGGACUGGGAGGGGGGGUCCGGCACGCGGUGUUCCCUGGUGGUCCUCGUGGGUGAGUGAACUCUAGCCUGUGAGGCUAGAGUUCACUCUCGCGAGAUCCGGUCGUUGCCAUGGCAACGCGCCGGAUCUCGCGAGAGGAACCCGGCGGAGCUGCAAGUUAGAGCUCCGCCGGGUCCUCUCUCCAGCCUGGCUGGCUCUCCUCCUCCCCGCCGGCGGCCGCAUGUGGGCCGGUCAGGGAGAUCCUUGAUCUCCCCACCGGCCCGUCGUGGCACAAAGCGGGGCCGGCGCUGGGAGAGUGCCGGCCCUGCAUAGACCGGCAGGGGAGAUCCUGGGACCUCCCCUGCCGGCCUCGCCCAUGGCCACCGCGGCCCACCGGGCAUUUGCCCGGUGUGCCCGAUGGCCAGUCGGCUCCUGUAUGUGAUGGGUGUGAGAGUGCUGUGUGAGUGUGGGAGAGUGCUGUGUGUGAUGGGUGUGUGAGAGUGCUGUGUGUGAUGGGUGUGGUGAGAGUGCUGUGUGUGAUGGGUGAGAGUGCUGUGUGUGAGAGUGCUGUGUGUAAUGUGUGUGAGUGCUGUGUGUGAUGGGUGAGAGUGCUGUGUGAGAGUGCUGUGUGUGCUGUGUGUGUGAAUGUGUGAGAGAGUGCUGUGUGUGAUGGGUGAGUGCUGUGUGAGAGAGUGCUGUGUGUGAUGGGUGUGAGAGUGCUGUGGGAGAGAGUGCUGUGUGUGAUGGGUGUGAGAGUGCUGUAUAAAUGUUAUUGUGUGUGUGUGUGUGUAGGGGGGGGUAAAUAAAAAAAAUAAAAAAAACAGGCAUUAUUCCCCCCCCCCUUCUUACCUUUAGCCUGGAAGGGAGGGGGGGACCGGCACGCUGGGACUGGGAGGGGGAGUCCGGCACGCGGUGUUCCCUGGUGGUCCUCGUGGGUGAGUGAACUCUAGCCUGUGAGGCUAGAGUUCACUCUCGCGAGAUCCGGUUGUUGCCAUGGCAACGCGCCGGAUCUCGCGAGAGGAACCCGGCGGAGCUGCAAGUUAGAGCUCCGCCGGGUCCUCUCUCCAGCCUGGCUGGCUGUCUCCCUCUCCCCGCCGGCGGCCGCAUGUGGGCCGGUCAGGGAGAUCCUUGAUCUCCCCACCGGCCCGUCGUGGCAAACAGCGGGGCCGGCGCUAGGAGAGUGCCGGCCCUGCAUAGACCGGCAGGGGAGAUCCUGGGACCUCCCCUGCCGGCCUCGGCCCAUGGCCACCGCGGCCCACCGGGCAUUUGCCCGGUGUGCCCGAUGGCCAGUCCGGGCCUGCAUGGGGCCUAAGCCCGCUUCAUUGUGCUCAUGUAAUGGAAUACAUCACCACUAUUUCUCUCUUGUUCUCAAUGUUUAAUUUUGUCUCAAUGUCUCAAUGUCCUGAGUUCUAUUGACCUUGUAAAAUUGUUCAUGUACUGCUACCCUAAGUGCCACUUGUCCCUUUGGGCUGAGCUCUACGUGGUACAUAGUGGCCCCUGGAACAUAUCCUGCUAUAAUGGUAUGACAGCACACACUGGAACAGGAACUAGGAGGCAGGUAAUGAAAGUGAAGUUUGAACUCACAGCAGAAAUGCAAGGCUAGUAGCCUGUGUAUAUUGUCAGUAGUCCAUACAAAUAGUACGGUAAACAGAGCAACAGACUCGGAUCAAACUAGAUCAUUAUCACAUCUUUUUUUGUAUUGUUGUAUCUGUAGUUUUAAUGUACCUAAACAUAUUGCUAUUUUUCAGACUGUUUAGAAGAAGCAUUGUGGCCCUAUGUCACAUGCAACAAAGUUGUUGUGUUGCUUCGAUAAGAUACUCUUCAUAGAGCAGCAUUAUCCAAUGUUUUUUUUAAUGAACAAAAUUGGCUGCAUUCCUUGUUAACAUGUUGAGCUUCAUGACGCUGAACGUCAAACACCUUUCAAUUGAUUAAAGUCUUCCCUGGGAACUGUCUCUAAUGGCUUUCUGGUUGACAGAUAUUAGAGGCAUAAUUUCUGACAAAUAGAAACAUUGUCGUUUCUCAGAAAUGGAAAUGUUUACAUUUGUCAGACAUCAAUGGCAGUCAUCUAGGCAAGAGGUAGGCAAACUUUGUAACUUCAGAUGUUGUGGAUUACAUCUCCCAUAAUGCUCUUACAGCCAUAAUGCUGCCAAAUCAUCAGGGGAGAUAUAGUCCACAACAUCUGGAGUUGCCUGUCUGUGAUCUAGACACUGAGACCCCAUAUUAAAGGACCACUAUAGGCACCCAGACCACUUCAGCUUAAUGAAGUGUUCUGGGUGCCAGGUCCAUCUAGGGUUAACCCUGCAGCUGUAAACAUAGCACUUUCAGAGAAACUGCUAUGUUUACAUAUGGGUUAAAGGACCACUCUAGGCACCCAGACCACUUCAGCUUAAUGAAGUGGUCUGGGUGCCAGGUCCAGCUAGGGUUAACCCAUUUUUUAAUGGGUUAAGCCUUCCCCCAAAGCCUCUAGUGGCUGUCUCAUUGACAGCCACUAGAGCUGCUUGUGUUCUCACUGUGACACACAGAGAGAGCACAGCGUCCAUAUAAAGCAUUGUAAAUGCUUUCCUAUGCGACCGGCUGAAUGCGCGCGCAGCUCUUGCCGCGCGUGCGCAUUCUGCCCAGGAGGAGGAACGGAGGAGGAGAGAAGGAGGAGAGCUCUCCGCCCAGCGCUGGAAAAAGGUAAGUUUUACCCCUUUCCCCCUUCCAGAGCCGGGCGGGAGGGGGUCCCUGAGGGUGGGGGCACCCUCAGGGCACUAUAGUGCCAGGAAAACGAGUAUGUUUUCCUGGCACUAUAGUGGUCCUUUAAUCCAGCCUCUAGUGGCUGUCUCAUUGACAGCCGCUAGAGGCGCUUCUGCACUUCUAACUGUGAUUUUCACAGUGAGAAGAUACUACUGUCCAUAGGAAAGCAUUGAGAAAUGCUUUCCUAUGGACUGACUGAAUGUGCGCGCAUUCAGCCGUUGACGUCCGAAGGAGAAGGAGAGUUCCCAGCGCCGAGGGAACCCGGCGCUGGAGAAAGAUAAGUGAUUUGACCCUUUCCUCUCCCUUCAGCCCGGCGGGAGGGGGGCCAUGAGGGUGGGACCUAUUAAUACUAUAGUGCCAGGAAAACGAGUUUGUUUUCCUGGCACUAUAGUGGUCCUUUAAGCUUUAGUAGUUUUGCUGCUUCAAGAGUGUAUUAUUAAGCAAUGCCAUCUCUGGGUUCUGUAGACAUGGUUUAUAAUGAUCUCUAAGAACCUCUCCAAGGCAUUAUAUUCCCAUAAUACACAAUUCACUAUUAUGUAUUCUCCCUCCCCCUCUCUCUCUAUCUACAUACAUAUACACACACAUAGGCAUUGCGCAAGUACAGUUGUUAUAACAUUACUAGUGAGCAUCGCUGCUAAUCAUAUAAACAAGGAAUGGUAUAUUAAAUUAUAUAACACGUGUAAACGAUGAGUCACAAAGCUGCUCUGUUACAUACCACAUUCCUUUUUUGUUUCCAAACUACUCAUUAGAUCAUUCAUUUCUAAAAGAAAAACACUUGACAGAGCAGAACAAAUAAACAAAAGGAAUAUAUGUAUCAUGCACAUGUUGGUGUUAAUCCUUUUAAUAUAUAUAUUUUUUAUUUUACAGGACGUGAAUCAGACAAUCUUCAGAUGUAAACCUAUCAUUUCAGUACCGUCAUUUGUAAGAUUGAAACACACAUGUCCUGUUCCUGCCCCCAAAGAAC